rnacentral:rRNA from 1 species
GAUGAACGCUGGCGGCGUGCUUAAUACAUGCAAGUCGAGCGAACAGACGAGGGUCUUGCUACUCUGACGUUAGCGGCGGAAAGGGGAGUAAAACGUGGAUAACACCCCUAUAUGACUGGGAUAUCUUCGGUAAACCGGAGCUAUUAUCGGAUAAUAUCUUUCACCGUAUGGUUCAAUAGUGAAAGAAGGCUUUGCUGGCACUUGUAGAUGCAUCCGCGCCGUAUUAGCUAGUUGGUGAGGUAACGGCUUACGAAGGCAACGAUGGGUAGCCGACCGGAGGGGGUGAUCGACGGCGCUGGAACUGAGACACGGUCCAGACUCCUACGGGAGGCAGCAGUAGGGAAUCUUCCGCAAUGGGCGAAAGCUUGACGGAGCCACGCCGCGUGAGGGAUGAAGGUCUUCGGAGCGCAAAACGUUGUUAUUAGGGAAGACCAAAUGCGUAAGUAACUAGGCACGGCUUGACGGUAACUAGUCAGAAAGCCCCGGCUAACUACGUG